rnacentral:rRNA from 1 species
CAGUAGCCACGGGAAUACGGAGGGUGCAAGCGUUAAUCGGAAUUACUGGGCGUAAAGCGCACGCAGGCGGUCUGACAAGUCAGAUGUGAAAUCCCCGGGCUUAACCUGGGAACUGCAUUUGAAACUGUCAGGCUGGAGUCUUGUAGAGGGGGGUGGAAUUCCAGGUGUAGCGGUGAAAUGCGUAGAGAUCUGGAGGAAUACCGGUGGCGAAGGCGGCCCCCUGGACAAAGACUGACGCUCAGGUGCGAAAGCGUGGGGAGCAAACAGGAUUAGAGACCCCGGUAGUCCCUGUCUCUUAUAC